UACGGAGGGAGCUAGCGUUAUUCGGAAUUACUGGGCGUAAAGCGUACGUAGGCGGCUUUGCAAGUUAGAGGUGAAAGCCUGGAGCUCAACUCCAGAACUGCCUUUAAAACUGCAUCGCUUGAAUCCAGGAGAGGUGAGUGGAAUUCCGAGUGUAGAGGUGAAAUUCGUAGAUAUUCGGAAGAACACCAGUGGCGAAGGCGACUUACUGGACACAUAUUGACGCUGAGGUGCGAAAGCGUGGGGAGCAAACAGG
rnacentral:rRNA from 1 species